rnacentral:rRNA from 1 species
AUGCCCUCCGGCGCUCCAGAUCUGUGGAUCUCUCUCGAAUUCGCUCCGUGGAGGCCUCGUCCUUCCCGAUCUCUUUCCAUGGACACCGAGAGAGAAGUACAUGCCAUCAGUAAAGGUCCAAUCAUGGUACGCCAUCAAAAACAGUGUAACACUAUGGGCAUGGUGGAUAAUAAGAAAAAUGUCAAGGUAAAAGAAGAGAAAGAUGAAAAUAUUAACACGAAAGAGAAAAGGAAGCAAAAGAAAGCUGAAGGUGAUAAGAAAACAGAGGAGAAGCAAAAUUCAUCAGAGAGGAAGAUGACUAAGAACAAGGAGGAGAAAGAGAAGAAAAUGAGAGUUGUUGAUAAGAAGGAUGAUGAGGAGAAGGAGAGGGAGGAUCAGAGGAAAAGAAAGGAAAAUGGGAGGAAGGCGAUGUCACAUAAGGAAAGAAAGGAGGAGAAUGGGAAUGAGAAAGAAGAGCAGGGGCAGGAAGCGAAGGAAGGAGAAAUUGAGAAAGAGAAAGAGGAGGAACAAAAGGAGAUAAAUGAGCAGAAGGGGAGGAAGGAGAAUGGUAAAGAGGAACAUGAUUCGAAGGAAAGGGAUGAGGAAGACCAAAAUGACAAACAAAAUUGCCCUCACUUCUUUAGGGCGCUCAUAUCCAAUUCAUUCAUGGAACACGUGACCAUUCCAGCAGGAUUCCACAAAUACUUGGAAGAUUGUACAGGAAUGGUGUCCCUAAGAGGUCCAAGCAGGAAUAAAUGGCCCGUAGAGCUGGCUAAAAUCUCCGGGGAGCUAUGCUUUGCGCGUGGAUGGAAGGAGUUCCUCUCCGACCAUCGCGUUGGGUAUGGCUACCUGCUGGUGUUCCGUUACGACGGGCAGUCACAAUUCUCAGUGACGGUUUUCUUACCAUCGUCCUGUGAGGCUCCGUAUGCAUCUCUCGCACAGCCACAACACAAGGACAUCGACGUGGCCAGAGAGGAAGAGAAAGGGCUCAUAAGCACCAAUGUAGAUGAUACUGCCCCGCAAGAAGACGCUCGCUCUGGCACUAGUGUAGAUGGUACACCACAAAAUGAAGCUUCAGAAGUAGAAGAAGAUGCUUCAGAAGAUGAAGAGGCAGAGGAAGUUGAAGAUGCAUUAUCAGAAACUCCGGAGAAUGAGCAAGACUAUGAACGUCGCAUGUCCAGCAACGAUGCUCUAGAACCAGAGCAACAACAGCAGGACGAUCAACACAAGACCGACGACGGUUUUGUGGUCGGGAAGAGGGCUAGGUUUAGGAAGGUUGAUGAUAUCAUGGCAGAAGUGGACCGAUCCAAGAAGUCUAGGCCGACGGAGGGGAAAAACUCUGAAGCCCCAUCUGGUGAUCCAGCUUCUGGGGGAACAUCAUCAAGCGACAGUUUGGCAGAAUCGGAGCAUCGUCCACCCAUGAAGUCUAAGGCUGAGGAGAUAAGGUCUCCAUCUGGUGAUUCAGCUUCUAAGGCAGCAGCAUCAAGUGACAAUUUGGCAGAGUUGGCCAGUCGUCCAUCAAAGGACUCUAAGGCUGAGGGAAAAAGCUCUACUGCUCCUUUAAUUUUUUAUACCAGGUCUACUGCUUCAGCAUCUAAAAGAGUUCCCCUCAAAAAAGCUUCGAAAGAAACAACACCAAGUGACAGUUGGGCAGUUCAUACAGGUGUAUUCACACCAGAAUCCAUGUGCACGGACUUAACCACAUGGCACAAAUCUUUUGGUAAAAGGCUUAGUAAGAAGAAUCAAUUCCCAAUGUUCAACAAGAGCAAUGGUGAAAACCAACCUGGCAGAGUUCUCAUCAAGGUUAUGAGAAGGCCGGGAUUAACAUCACAGGGGCGUCCAGUAACUGAAAGGGAGAAGGAAUACGCCAUGGAGAGGGCACAGAGGUUCAAAUCCGAGAGGCCCUUCACCGUCAAGACAAUGAAGCACAACGAUGUUUAUGCAUCGUACUUCAUGAUCAUCCCCGACAAGUUCGUGAAAACAUUUCUCCCCGAAGAGAGUAGGAAGAUGACGUUUUGGGACCCACAGGGGAAGCCGUGGAAGGUGUGGUACGAGUACACUGGCGGCGAGUGUCCCCGCGCGGCUUUCAGCGCUGGGUGGGGUGCGUUGGCCAUGGAGAACAACCUGGAGAAGUGGGACGUGUGCAUCUUCGAGCUCCUGGACCAGGAAUACAACAUCAAGCUUCAUGUCUACAAGGUCGUGUUGGAGAUCACGCCUUGCGUCAUCGCCCCAAAACCACGUACAUGCAAGUGA